GCCGCUGGCCCGGGGACCACAGAUUGGAAGCAGGCAGUCACUGGUCGUGGACAGGAAGACUCUCUCCGGCCAUCUCAGGUUGUACUUUCCCCAGCUGGCCCUAUGGCGGAGGCUAGGCCAGCUGAGCUGCAUGUCCAGACCUGCUCUGAAUCUGCGCUCCUGGCUGCUGACCAUCCUCCACUACCUCCUGCCCUUCCGUGUGCUCGGGCCCCACAGCCAGGUGGGAUGGAGGCCCCUGAGCAGGGUGUUCCUGUAUAAAACUGUGCCAACGAGUUUGCUGUCAUGUGCCUGUGGUCGCCUCAACAAAGUAGAACUUCCUUACUGGCUCUGGAGGCCAGUCUACAGCCUGUAUAUCUGGACCUUUGGGGUGAACAUGACUGAGGCUGCAGUGGAGGACCUGCACCACUACCGCAACCUCAGCGAGUUUUUCCGGCGUAAGCUGAAGCCUCAGGCACAGCCUGUCUGAGAUUUGUACUGUGUGGUAAUGCCUGGCCCUUGUCUCCAUUCUUCAUUAGGAAAUGAAACCCUUGUCUGCCUUUAAGCCAGGCUUAGCAGCACCGCAUGGCCGUGGCACUCCGGGAGGCUCCCUCCUGACCUGGACUGGAGCUCCCUGAGGACUUGGCAGAUGGUAGAGUUUGGGGAGCCACUGAAGGUGAGCACUACCCCCUCCUUACCUUCAAAACUCUGUCUCCUCCAGACCAGCCCAUCAGAUGGCAAGAUCCUCACCUUUGGGCAGGUGAAGAACUCUGAGGUGGAGCAGGUAAAGGGCGAAACCUACUCCUUGGAGUCCUUCCUGGGCCCUCGAACCAGUACAGAAGACCUGCCCUUCCCUCCAGCUUCUUCCAGUGACUCCUUCAGAAACCAGCUGGUCCCCCAAGAAGGGAAUGCGCUCUACCACUGUGUCGUCUACCUGGCCCCAGGAGACUACCACUGCUUCCACUCCCCCACUGACUGGACCGUCUCACAUCGGCGCCACUUCCCAGGUCUGCCCAGGGGUGGGCAUUAGAGGCCCUUGGCCUUUUGACUUGAGAGGACUGGGCUUGAGGCUGGUGUCGUCAAGGCCAGGAGAGGACUUCUUGAGGUGGCUGGCUAUAGGCGAGGGUAUCUGGGGUCCUGCUUAGAAUUUGGACCGCUUGACCUGUGAGUCCCUGUGGCUCUUCGGCCAUUCUGAUGUGAACAUGUCAGGGGCUGAGCAGAAAGUAGCAUAUUCUCUUGUCUCUUCAGGUUCCCUGAUGUCAGUGAACCCUGGCAUGGCCCGAUGGAUCAAAGAGCUCUUUUGUCACAAUGAGCAUGUAGUCCUAACUGGAGACUGGAAAAAUGGGUUCUUCUCGUUGACAGCAGUGGGAGCCACCAAUGUGGGCUCUAUCCAUAUCCACUUUAACUGAGUGAGCAAAGCCCACAGGCUAAACCUCUUGGGUCCAACCACUUCAUUUACUGUACAGCCUUACCUUUGGGCUUAUAAAUUUUGUAGUGCAGGAGGGAUGAUCUAGCUCUGACCAGGCUGGACUCUACAGACAUCCAUACCAGCCCAGCCUCCCUCUCCCUGUUGCCCAAUCUGUGGCCAUUCACCUGCCUGAACCAAUCCCACAUCUUAACACACGGCUUCUGCCAGGAUCCCUGAUCAGAAGCAAGGAUGGAGCCUGCAGGAGGGUAGAGUUGGCUUGGGUGAGAAAAUCUGGUACCCACUCUGCCUUUUUAGGUUUUAAUGGCUGCUGCUGGCACUAGCCUUUCAGCAUUUAUGUCUAACCCCUGCCCCUCCUUGUCAAAGUCACAGCUGAUACUGGGAGUGUUGAUUAGUUAGGCCUUUGUCUCUGCCACCUGGGCUGGGCAGAGUUGAGGACAGGCUCAACCUUCUUGUUCCUAGGACUUGCACACAAACAGCCCCAGGUACAGCAAGGUACUACAAUGACCUGAGCUUUGUAACAAGGAGGGCAUUCCCAUGCACAAGGGUGAGCCCCUGGGCGAGUUCAACCUGAGCUCCACAUCAUGCUCAUCUUCGAGGCACCCAAGGACUUCAACUUGAGGCUGAAGGCAGAACAGAAGAUCUGCUUUGCAGGAGCACUGGGCUCCCUCUAGUCCUCUCGGUUGUGGCUGCCAAAGGAUCUUUCCACACAGGAGCAUGAGGGUCUUUAGCGGAGCCCCAGGAUGUCUAGGUGAGGGGCACUGUGGGGCUGACCUUAUAAGACCUGAAUGAUGUGUUCCUGCCUGUCCAUGGGUGCAGAGGAGAGGUUCUGGGUCUCUCAGGACCUAGGCCCCUUUUCUGAGUAUGGGUGGGUGUGAUUUGACCCCAAAGUCACUUUAAGGGGUGUUUUAAAUUUUUGUACAAGCCAGAGCCUCCCACCCCUAACUCCUGGCUGUGUACUACCACACCCUCUAGCUGCGCCCCGACCCGUCACAGGGCUCUCUCACUGUGCACAGGGUGACGUGCCUGCUGGGCAGAGACUGUGGAUCCACUGUCUUCCUAGAGCAGGCCACAUGGCCUUCAUAACUGCUUUCUGCUCCCAAAUUUCACCUAUCUGCAUGCUGGAAAAGUAAAAUCAUUUAUAUAUUGCUG
rnacentral:lncRNA from 1 species